rnacentral:rRNA from 1 species
CGGCGAACGGGUGAGUAACGCGUGGAUUAUCUGCCCUGAGGUGGGGGAUAACCCGGGGAAACUCGGGCUAAUACCGCAUGAUACCGAGAGGUCAAAGGGGGCCGCAAGGCUCUCGCCAUGGGAGGAGUCCGCGUUCGAUUAGCUAGUUGGUAGGGUAAUGGCCUACCAAGGCGACGAUCGAUAGCCGGCCUGAGAGGGUGAUCGGCCACACUGGAACUGAGACACGGUCCAG